GUGCAAUGGAAAAGCAGAUGCUUACAGUAAAGUUGCUAAUGACAACUGUCUGACAGAAUGAAUGGAGGGGGGGCUCUAAUGAAAAAAAACACACAACUUGUUAAGUCUGUAUUCUCAUUUUGGUGUACACAGCAGGAGGUACAGCUGGAUAAUGGGGACCAUACUGUCAUGUCGAGUUUGGGCCAUUGCAGGACUUCACUCAGGUGUUUAUAUGUGACUAAUGUGAUUUGAAACACAACAGGCUCUUCAGGCACUGAGCAAAGUGGGUGACUACUGUGCUCUGACCACUUGGGCCCAGGCAGAGACUGAGGGCUGAUGAGAUGAAAUACUCAAGUGAUUCCAAGCGCAAGCCAUACCCCAUGCUGGAUAGACAGGUAGAACCAUAAAGCAACUGGAAAGAGACUGAUUUUGUUACACAGCAUGGCAGAGCAGGAUUCUGAUCUGCUCUUUUUGCCCUGGAAAUACCAGUCACUAACUUGCUCAAUCAACUAUCCAAGAUUUUGCUUGUUAAGGAAGAAAUAAAAGAAUACUCCUUGAUUAUGGAAAGCAGCCAGUAGCAUGUCUUAUAGUGUAAUGCAUCAGAAAAGCCUUAAAAGAGUAAACUUUGAGAUAUGCCAUUUUCUUGGCUAUCAGGUUUUUUUGUUUGUUUAUUUGGGUGGGGUUUUUUUUGCUGUUGCUGACAGAAACUGUUCAGUUAACAAAUUAUAUUUUUGGUGUGGGAUAUGAGACUGCCCCGGCCCAAAGCAUGCUGAAACAGAAACCAGCUUUUAAUGUUGACAAUAAAAACUAUUAAUUACGCUAAAACAGGAUCAGUGUCUCAUUCCAUAAUGAAAGAGCAGAGCCAAUUAAAAGUAUCUGCAUUAUCUGGUCUAUACUUCAUUAGUCAGUCUCUUCUUUUCCUACCAACUUUUAUAUUAACUUUAGAAAUUCCUGUAUUUUUGAGUGGGGACUCUGAGUAACAAAUAGUAUUGAAAAGUUUCUAUUUCUUCAACUACUUCCUUAUAAAAUAACAUUAUGUGUUAUCUAAC